AUAUGAAAUACAUAAAUCACCUUUGUGCGUAUGCAUAAAGGAUUCUAUUUACGCAUUAUUUCUUUGGGAGUGAAAGGGGAACGUUCCCUUUGAGAAGGGCAACUUGCUAGUCAUACUAGAGUCAUCCUUCUAAUUGAAGUUUAUCAUCAUAUGAGAAACUUCCUAAAAUCUUUUGUCUAUUAUUAGGGAUUGAUAUAAUCAAAUUAUAUCUUGAAAUCUAUCAUUAUGGAUUCACUUCCCAUGUUUAUAGACAAUGUCUCCCAUAUACAUUCUAUCGUUUAUAGAAUGUUUAAAGUCAUAACUUUAACGAAGAAAUAUUCUUUUCAUUUCCAAAAUUAAUAUAUCAUAUAUAUAUUCAUAUAUAUCACAUAUAUAUUCAUAUAUAUCACAUAUAUAUUUAUAUAUAUAUACAAAUUUAGGAAUAUGGUUAACUCCCACUAAUCUUUUGUAAACCUAGUAAACAAAAGAUUCAUUUACAUCUUUAUGAGAAAUCAAACGAUUUGACCUUUCUCUCAUAAGACGCUUAUAGCUCCCACUAGCUUGCCAAGAUCCAUGAUGGAUGGAUCUCUACAACUUACAUGUCUUGUGAUUCAUAGUUUUAGACAUAUAUUAUCAAGACUAUCUUAAUAAUGGUUUCGGAAACCUAUAUUAUGUCCAAACAUUGAAUCACCAUUUAGUUGUAGCUAGCAUUCUUCGAAUUAAUUGAAACUAAGACUACGUCAAAAAUGGUUCCUUCAAAGUCAACCAUUCUCUUUGAUUGUAGUCACCUUAAGCUACCAAUUAGCUAUUAAGGUUUCAUUAUUUCGAGUCAAAUGGUACUUUACCAUUUUCUUGAGUAUAUAUCAUAUAUAUACACUGAAUGUAGUCAUAAGGAUUUUCAUUCUUAGUUCUUUCGAAUUAAGAGGUGCAACUCUAUGACAUAGUCAUAAAGUUCAAAACCAUUCAACUGAGACGGUUUAUA
rnacentral:lncRNA from 1 species